rnacentral:rRNA from 1 species
CCCUUAGAUGUUCUGGGCCGCACGCGCGCUACACUGAUGCAUUCAACGAGCCUAGCCUUGACCGAGAGGUCCGGGUAAUCUUUGAAACUGCAUCGUGAUGGGGCUAGAUUAUUGCAAUUAUUAAUCUUCAACGAGGAAUGCCUAGUAAGCGUGAUUCAUCAAAUCGCGUUGAUUACGUCCCUGCCCUUUGUACACACCGCCCGUCGCUCCUACCGAUUGAGUGUGUUGGUGAGGAGUUCGGAUUGGCUCUUAGUGGUGGUUCGCCACCACCUAGAGCUGAGAAGUUCUCCAAACCGCCCCACUUAGAGGAAGGAGAAGUCGCAACA